rnacentral:lncRNA from 1 species
GGAAACUGUUCCAUUUCUGCAAUUCUCCACCCACCUUCUCUGCCAGAAAAUUAGCUUUAUUGCUCCCUCCUGCAAUUCCUCGAGACCGUGGGUCUUUCUGGUUGUUGGGUUUGUUUGUUUGUUGGAAUUACACUGAAAUCUAUUUGAACAAAAGCAUGUGUUUCUAUGUCUCCCCUCAGCUACUUGCUUCUUUUCUCUCCAAUGGCCUUGCUGUCCUGCCCACCCAUCAAGCCUGUUUUGGUCUGAUAUUUUCCCUGCUACCAGCCUGCUUCAACCUGAUGUCCCCAGACAAGAGGCCUCUGUCUAUAGCAAGAUACUGUGGUUUAUGGAUACUAUUGUUCCUUCUCUUCCAAAACAAAGGCCGACAUGCUGACUUUGAUUUUGCUCUCUCUGAUCUGCAUCCAGCAGUCCAUUCAAGCAGUGAACACAGUUCCAGGUUCAGCUGCCUCCAGCUCUUCUCCCCGACUUGCUUUCCCGUGCUGUGGAGGAAGGGCACGUCUCCGCAGCUGACAUCUCCCUUGGGCCUGCGCUUGCACCGAGCCGCUGCCAGAACGGGAACUGCAGGCGUCUGUUG